rnacentral:rRNA from 1 species
AACUUGAGACCGGCGCACGGGUGCGUAACGCGUAUGCAAUCUACCUUAUACAGGGGAAUAGCCCAGAGAAAUUUGGAUUAAUGCCCCAUAGUGUUAUAGAAUCGCAUGGUUUUAUAACUAAAGUUCCAACGGUAUAAGAUGAGCAUGCGUCCCAUUAGUUAGUUGGUAAGGUAACGGCUUACCAAGACAAUGAUGGGUAGGGGUCCUGAGAGGGAGAUCCCCCACACUGGUACUGAGACACGGACCAGACUCCUACGGGAGGCAGCAGUGAGGAAUAUUGGUCAAUGGGCGCAAGCCUGAACCAGCCAUGCCGCGUGCAGGAAGACGGUCCUAUGGAUUGUAAACUGCUUUUAUACAGGAAGAAACCUCCCUACGUGUAGGGACUUGACGGUACUGUAGGAAUAAGGAUCGGCUAACUCCGUGCCAGCAGCCGCGGUAAUACGGAGGAUCCAAGCGUUAUCCGGAAUCAUUGGGUUUAAAGGGUCCGUAGGCGGCCUUAUAAGUCAGUGGUGAAAUCUCCUAGCUCAACUAGGAAACUGCCAUUGAUACUGUAGGGCUUGAAUUUUUGUGAAGUAACUAGAAUAUGUAGUGUAGCGGUGAAAUGCUUAGAUAUUACAUGGAAUACCAAUUGCGAAGGCAGGUUACUAACAAACGAUUGACGCUGAUGGACGAAAGCGUGGGGAGCGAACAGGAUUAGAUA